rnacentral:lncRNA from 1 species
UCUGAGUUUGUCCAAUUAAUGCUGAGGCUAAGGUGAUGAGCAAGGACAGAGCUCUCUCACGGAGUUUACGCGUAGGCACGGAAACAGACAGCACACAAGCUCAGACAAAUGGAAACUGCAACACUAAAAGAAGGAAAGGAGCUCACAGACCUAGACACUGGCCUUGCUGCCUCACCCCAUGUGACUCAGUUGACACACGG